CCUACGGGAGGCAGCAGUAGGGAAUCUUCCACAAUGGACGCAAGUCUGAUGGAGCAACGCCGCGUGAGUGAAGAAGGGUUUCGGCUUGUAAAGCUUUGUUGGUAGUGAAGAAAGAUAGAGGUAGUAACUGGCCUUUAUUUUACGGUAAUUACUUAGAAAGUCACGGCUAACUACGUGCCAGCAGCCGCGGUAAUACGUAGGUGGCAAGCGUUUUCCGGAUUUAUUGGGCGUAAAGCGAGUGCAGGCGGUUUCAUAAGUCUUAUGUGUAAGCCUUCUGCUCAAACGGAGCAUUGCAUCAGAAACUU
rnacentral:rRNA from 1 species